GAGCAGAGCAGAUGUCAGAGACAUUUUCUGAUUCUCCUGCCGGUUUCCCCUAGAUAUCACAAUCACAAAGUCAUAAUUGGCUACAGGAAUGUACUGUUUGUCCCAACCGGAGCGCAUCCUCAGACCAGCCGGUGCAUGGACAUCCUGUGCCAGUGUGAUCCGAGCGCGAGCGUCCAGUUGUGGAGACUACAGCACAUCGAGCCUAUGGAUUGACAGACAUGAGGUGUAAUAUGCGGAACAUCAGGCUCACACCACAAGAAGCAGUGCAUGAGCAACUCCACCUUCAGCAAGGAGAUCUGCUGGAAGUGGUGUACUCGCUCUCUCACUCUGGGGGAGUUCAGCGAUCCAUACAUCAGAACCAGCAUCAUGCCACUAUGAGGCUGAACAAGAAUUGUUCCACUGCACCAGGUUACAGAGGGAUGACACAUUCACUCGACAUCUAGACUGAGUACACUUUUACAGUCAUUCCAUGUUUGCUUCAUGCAUUAUCAUCCUGUAAAAUAAAGUUAAUUUUGUACAUGC